UGAUGGAAUCUCUGAUGAUCACAGCGUUGCGUCCUGUCUCGGAUGGAGAUCUUGAAGGCAGGAGGGGGAGAAUUCGUCCCCGGGGCCCGGCCGCGUCCUCCGUUGUGGAUGCACCCAGGGUCCGUGGUGUCCCGGCAUCGCAGUGAAGAAGAUCUGGGAAGAUCGCGUCCUGGGUGCACCGGGUCUGUGCAGAGAAACACACGGAGUAGACGUGGAAGAACUGUUAACAGCACGCUGUAUACUUACCCCGGACUUGUUAGCGUCAGCCCGUUGAUGAUUCCAGCGAGGCUCUCCGCUCUCUCAGCUGGGCCUGCCUCACCUCCAGGUUGUGAAUCUACUUUCCCACGGCCUCGAACGUGUCCUUGCCUGCAAUCAAAGAGAGCAGUGUGUGACCACCAGCCCCAGCACGAAGGGAGAGCAUGGACCCACACAGCACAGCGCACCACAUGAGGAGAGAGAGAGAGAGAAGAAGCCGAGCACCAAAACACCUCACGUGUCGUUGCUGGAAGUCUGUCAGUCCAGAGGUGAGGAAGACAUACAGAGUGGAGUUGGAGCUCAGCAGGUGUGAUGCAUCUACAGAAACACUACUGGAUUCUGAAGAAGGGGGUCUU